rnacentral:rRNA from 1 species
UUCGUAGGUGGCUUGCUAAGUCAGACGUGAAAUCCCUCAGCUUAACUGGGGAACUGCGUCUGAGACUGGCGAGCUUGAGUGCAGGAGAGGAACGCGGAAUUCCAGGUGUAGCGGUGAAAUGCGUAGAUAUCUGGAGGAACACCGGUGGCGAAGGCGGCGUUCUGGACUGCAACUGACACUGAGGAACGAAAGCCAGGGGAGCAAACGGGAUUAGAUACCCCGGUAGUCCUGGCCCUAAACGAUGAAUGCUUGGUGUGGCGGGUAUCGAUCCCUGCCGUGCCGAAGUUAACGCGUUAAGCAUUCCGCCUGGGGAGUACGGUCGCAAGGCUGAA